rnacentral:lncRNA from 1 species
UUGUCAUGACAUCUGCCAUGAGGAGGCCAGUCUCAAAAGUUGGAGCAAUUGUUGAGCUUAAGGAGACAUGCAAAGAGAUAGGUGAAGGGAUUAGGGUAGCCACAACUAGAAAACAAUCUUUGGAAGCCUUGAUUGAAAGCUUGGAGCAGGCUGAGGGUGAAAAUGCUGAACAUGCUAAUGUCAUCCAUGAAGAAGAAGCUGAAGCCCACACCUCUAGUGAGAGGCCUGCUAACAAUGAUGAUGCGAGUGGUAAUUCUGCUUCUGGUGCUGUUAAAGAGGUUGCAAACUCAAGCUCUACUGAGCGGCUCUGUUGGCUUUGGUCCCUCUUGUUUUGAUGGUUUUCUUGUUUUUUUUUUGUGGAUUUCUUUGUGUUUUUU